ensembl:lncRNA
AGCUCCCUUUGAAACACACACAGAUGCUGACAAAGGAGAAGGACAAAGGAGAAGCCAGCUAAAAGGGUUGAAGUGUCUCCCAGACGGAGGGGUCCUGGGUGAGGACAGAGCAGUUCAGAAGUAGCCCAAUCCAGUACAAUGGCACAUGAAAAACCAGAUUUGCAAGUUUUGGAGGAGGAUGAAAGUGAAUCAUCAGAUGACUCAUGCAUGGAUGAUGAUGAUGAUGAUGACUUUGAUGUUGGCCAUGUGAGCCAAAGUUCCUGUAACAGUGAAAUGGAGUAAGAAUUGACCAAUGCAGACACAAGGAAUGCAGACUUCAUUGAUUCAGAUGAUGAAGAAAACAGCAAUAUGAGUACAUACUUGAUGAGUUAAAAUGGUACAAAAUGGCCCCACAACUAAAUAGAAAGAUCCAAUGUUGGAACUAGGUCUCAAAAUAUAAUAAGGAUCUUAGCUAG